UCUAUGUCCUGUGUGUCGGAUCGUGCUGACCCUGUGUCUAUCUGUGGGGAGGAUUCAGUGUCCUACCAGUCCUGAAAGCUGAGCCCAACACCAGACAACCUAACUCAUACACCCAGGGGAUCAAUCACAUCACUGACAGGACACUGGGAGUCUUCCAAAAUAUCAUGGACAAUCCGCAACAAGGAAUACCGGGGACCUUUAACCACAUUUCUAUCCCUUCAACCAAUGAGCAGUGACUGGGGAAGCCCUCAUGUCACUUUGUUCUGGAACACUGAUACCUGGAAAGUAAUGUCAUGGGAUGGACAGACAGACAGACUGACUGACUGACAGACUAAAACUCUCUUCCCAGACUGGUGGUAAACUCUAACUACUGGUGUUAUUCACCUGAACCUGACUGUGAUCUUCCAAAGUAGCAGAUAGUUAGGCCCUCUAGUGAUGGAAUAUAGUAUUACAACCUGACAAGGAGACAAGACUCAGCAAUUAUCUAUUAACCUCUUCAUCACGAGGUUCCCCAUAUCCGGGUUACUCCUCCCGCAAUCUCAAACAAUGACGUAGUACGGUUUUUAAACAUAUCCAAGUGCGCACCUCAUUGUCUCAUAUUAGUUGACUUGUUGCAUUACACACAGUUACGCAGAGCGCACAACAGCACUUGAAUUUCGGAGGGAAAACGCAAAGUUUAUAAAAAUAUGGCAGGCUCUAGUAACAAAUAUACAGUUACAGAGGCGUUAUUAAUUGUAACUGAUGAAAGUUGGACUCCAUGUAUCCCCAUUGACUCUGAAUCAGACGAUGAGGACCUGCUUAGACCGGACGAACCAGACCCCAAUGCCGAGAACGAAGGUUAUCGUGUCCAGGGCCCUACUCAAGCAUCAGAAGAGGAAUAUGACUAUAGGGGUGAUGAGCCACAGCCAGAGCAUCUGCCUCCUAAGCCACAGCUUCCCCUUCCUCAGGCAGAGCCUCCUCUUCCUCAGCCUGGCCGCUUGUCUAGACAACGCACUUCUGCUCCCCUCCCUAGGCCACAGUCUUCAUCGGGCACUGAGUCCCCUGUAAAGAGCCCUCAACCCAAAAGAAAAGGGAAAGCUUUCUCAAAGUCAGCGUGGCGGAGGUAGGCCUGCCACUCCAACAGUCGGGGAGGAAGAAGAGGAAGAAGAAGAUAGGUGGCAUAAUAGAGAAGAGAAUGAUGAACGACCAGACCCAAUCCCGUUUAUGCCCACCAGAGUCCCAGACCCCACAAUCGACACCACUGCGUCAUGGUCUCCCCUUUCCUUUAUCCGAAACAUUGAUUGGAACUACAGUGUUCACCACAAGACGAUGAAAUGGUAUAAGACUUUUCUUUUUCAUUUUGUUGAUAUUGCUGUUGUAAAUAGUUUCCCACUAAGCCGUACACACAGAAGAAGUUCAGGGAAAAGCUACUCACAGAAAUGGUGAGCUUUGCUAAACAGUCUGAACCACAACCUCCACCACAACCACCACCAACAUCCUGCAUGCCAGAAUACUAUAGUGAUGAUGCCAGCAAAGACAGGAAGAACUGUAGGAGAUGUCUGGAUGUUGGCAUCCCCAAAGUGAAAACACCUGUGUACUGCAGGAAGUGCCAAGUCCCUUUGUGCAUUACAUCAAAGCGUAACUGUUUCAAGGAUUGGCACGACAGCAAGUUUUAGGGUAAAAGAGGGUGUACAUUUUGUGUGACAACCCACCCAAGGACACCAUAUCAUUGUUUAUA